UCCAGUGGCUCGACCAUGGAAAACAAAAAAAAAAAGCUCAAACAUGACUAGACUGGCGGGAAGUUGUCCUGAAUAAGAUCCAGUAACAAAUCCAAAAUUGUCCUGGCACAAAAUGUAGUCUGGGGAAAAGGGAAGCCUUAAAACUGCACAAUCAUUUUUACUCAUGCAGGAGCCUGUUAUUCUGUUUUUUUUGUUGGACAAAGAACAGUUAAGUUCAUAAUAAAAAAAAAAUCAUUGUGAAUUUUAAUUAUAAGUUACAGAUUACAUAAAGUAUUGCACGAGGGUAUUCCUCAUAAACAGCAACAGAACUUACAAGCACACAAACAAGUUUAUGUUCUCAUACAAGAAAGACAAACGUCAAACCGGCAACACAUAUCACACAUAUUGCACAGAUUUAAUUAUAGUCUCCAGUACCAUUAAUCAUUCAGUGCGUACCAUCCAUGACAUUGUACAGUAUAAUCUCUAUGUAGUGUAUCUGUUUAGAUAUAAUUAUGAGGGAUAUUGUACUUGCUUUGGCAUUUGAAGAAAAUCAAAUACAUUCGUAGUGCUGGUAGAAACAUCUGUAAAGUGACAAAUGAAAACUUUUUUUUUUUUCAAUUAAAAUCAAUCAUACUCGAAAUCCACAGAAUCCUCCCAAACAAAUCUCAAGAGUAAACAGAACUCACAAUAUGCAUGUCUAAAAUGCAUUGAGAUUGGGAAAAACCAUUAAAAAAUGUAAAAUAAUUAGGAAUGCAUAAAAAGAAAGCAACAUUUAAAUAUAACCUCACUCUGAUCGGGUCACAUUUGAGUGGGGGUAAUCUGAUCUGGAAUGCAAUCAUCACAUCGUGCCAGAGCAAUGGGUUUGCAUCCUCUGUUACAGACGUGGCUGAAAUGAUUGGUACCCUUGCAUUUUAUUAAAAUAAUAAACCAAUUGCCCUGAACUGUGCUGAAAUGAGGAGAUAUUUUAUCAUCAGUGCGUGUCUGUGUUUGGUUUGCGGUGGAACGAGACAGAAAAGUCGUGAAAAUAACUGAACUUGUGCUUAUUCCACAAAGACGUUAAAAAAUAGCCUGGACAAAAUUAUCGGUACCCAUCUGAAGUCGUAAGAAACAAUUGAUUUGUAGUGAUACUAUAAGGAGGUUAUUGUUUUUUAAUUAGUAUCGCAUGUGUUUUCAGUCAUAUAAUCACUCAUGCAGCCAGUUUAAAAGGAGGAAAUUACAAACUGCUGUCUGACCAUGGAAAACAGAAGGAAAACUUGAGAGAGUGGUCUGAGGAGAUUAAGAAAAAGGUAAUAGCCAAGUGUGGUCAAUGUAAAGGUUACAAGAUCAUCUCCAAAGAGUUUGAUGUCCCUGUGAUCAGUGCUGCCAAUAUUAUGAAGAAGUUUAAGGCCAGUGGAACCGUAGCCAACAUCUCAGGAUGUGGUCACAAAUGGAAAAUUGGCCUGAGAUUGAAAAGAAGGGUUGCUUGAAUGGUGGAGAAAGAACCAAGGAAAACUUGAGUGCAGAUCCAAGCUGAUCUUCAAGUUCAAGGUACAAUAGUUUCAAGUCCCACCAUCUGUCACUAUCUGAAAGAAAAUGGGCUCCAUGGUGGAAGACUCAGGAAGACCACUUCUAAGAGGGGAAACAAAAUAAAGCCAGAGUGGACUUUUGACAAGCCACAGUCCUUCUGAGAGAACGUGCCUUGGACAGAUGAAACUAAAUCAGAGCUUUUCGGAAAAGCACACCAACCCAAUAUUUACAGAUGACAAAAUGAAGCCUUCAAAAGAAAAGAACACCGUGUCUACUGUAAGACAUGGAGGAGGCUCUGAAGUGGCCUGAUCUGAAUCCCAUCCCAAUGGAAAGAGCUGAUACUUGCAGUUGGGAGAAGUUACAGAUAGUUCUUGACUGCAGUUAUUGCCUCCAAAGGCAUUAAGUUAAGGGUACCAAUAAUUUUGGCUAUGCCAUUUUCAUUUGUUUUAUUUUGAAUAAUACGUUGAGUUGUAAAAUCAAAAGCAACGUUAUCAGUUAUAUUCAAUGUGAAAUGAAGAAUAUACUUUUCAGUUUCAACCUAAUGAAGAAAAAAUUUAGGUUUUUUUGUUUGUUUUUUUUAAAAGGUGGAAUCGUACCAAUAUAUCUAGCCACAUAUUCAUUGGAGUAUUAUUAGAGAGCCAUAGGUCUAAUAUUUCUGCCACAGAGAGACACAGAUGAAAACUAUAACACAACUUGCCUUCAGUGACUCCAUUUACAUGCAAACCAGUGAGGUGAUUUAUAGCACCUUCAUCGAGCUACAUGAUUGGUUCUUCAGUGCACCGAUGACACCUGAUCUCACAGGAAGUUUCCACUUACUUCGACGAAAAUAAACAUCUUAAGACAUUACGUGUAUGAAACAUUAUAGAUCAUGUGGAUGGUGAAGCAGGGUGUUUUUCACAUCAACUGAAACAUGAGAAAAACCUUAAUUUAACUGUUAGCAGUAUAAUUAGGUGCUGUAUAUGUGCAGUGUAAUAGUAGCCUUCUAUAAACAUGAAGCCAUUUUUUUUUUUACUUGUUGGAGUGGUGUGUUUAAGAUGCCUCUCCACUUUCUCUGACAUCUGUAGGAGUUCAUAAAAAAAACCCAGAUGUCUCAAUAAAAGCUACUUUUGAUUGCGCAGAUUUAAAAACAAUGUAAGAGCUAUGAAAUCUGAGCAGGAGUCAGAAAUCCAUAUAAACAGGGGAGGAAAACCUGUGAGAAAUCAAAAGCACUUAGAUGAACCCUUCUGCAAGGUUACAACUGGGGGAAAAAACAAUAUCCUGUUCAGAACCCCUGAAUAUGCAGAGGUGGUAAUCCAUAGUUUAAAUGUUUGAAACAACUUAACUAUGUGAUUAUAUUUAACUGUGAAAAACUGACAGUUCUGAAUAGAGACAUGAAAUGAAGGCUGUUGAUGGUACAUUUAAAAACAGUUCUGCUACACUUUAAAUCAAUCAAAUUAUCUUCUGUUUCUGUGUGAUAUGUCUUAGUUUAAUACGCUGAAUUGUACUAGAGUGG